UCUUGGAACCCCAGUUUCUACAUCUAGAAAAAGGGGCAGAAUAGUAUCAGAAAUGCUUCACUCUCAGGACUAUGGGGAGCAUAAAAUUAAAUAAUGAAAAAAAGGUCAACUAUAAAGCACUAAGGAAAGCUUUGUAUGAGUCCACUUGGAUUCUCACCUAAGGAAGAUCAUCUGGAAACACCAAAAGCACCAGUGUAGAUGCAAGAGAUGGUGAAGACCUGAGGCCUACCGCUGCCUUCUGCCAGCCCUGCAGUUCUGAAAGAAUGAGGGCCCGUGGGCAAUUGGGAGUGACAUGUCCUUGACACAUUGAGUUAGCUGUGCCCUGAAGGCCCAAAGUGAUUUGAAGCAUGAUUUUAAUGACUGUCAUUAUUUCUGUCAUUACUACCGGCCAAUAAAAACCAUCAUCAGCUUGA